GCAGUCGCACGAGAACGUUUCAGCUUUGCUGAAACUAGUAAAGUGGCGCACGGGUGUAGUAACGCGUGGGUAAUCUACCUCCGAAUUGGGGAUAACAUUGCGAAAGCGAUGCUAAUACCGAAUGACAUCUCAAUAACUUCGGUCUUUGAGAUCAAAGAUGGCCUCUCCAUGGAAGCUAUUGUUUGGAGAUGAGCCCGCGUACCAUUAGCUUGUUGGUAGGGUAAUGGCCUACCAAGGCAACGAUGGUUAGCUGGUCUGAGAGGAUGAUCAGCCACACUGGAACUGACACACGGUCCAGACUCCUACGGGAGGCAGCAGUGAGGAAUUUUGCGCAAUGGGGGAAACCCUGACGCAGCAACGCCGCGUGAGUGAUGAAGGCUUUCGGGUCGUAAAGCUCUGUCAAGUGAGAAGAACCUGCCCUUUGCUAAUAUCAUUGGGCACUGACGGUAUCACUGAAGGAAGCACCGGCUAACUCCGUGCCAGCAGCCGCGGUAAUACGGAGGGUGCAAGCGUUAUUCGGAAUCACUGGGCGUAAAGAGCGCGUAGGCGGUUUCUAAAGUCAGAUGUGAAAGCCCGGGGCUCAACCCCGGAAGUGCAUUUGAAACUUAGGGACUUGAGUAUGGGAGAGGGAAGUGGAAUUCCUGGUGUAGCGGUGAAAUGCGUAGAUAUCAGGAGGAACACCGGUGGCGAAGGCGACUUCCUGGACCAAUACUGACGCUGAGGCGCGAAGGCGUGGGG
rnacentral:rRNA from 1 species